AAAGUAUCAACUAUUUUUCAGAAUAAUUAUAGAAGUAUUUAAUAUCUUGCUCCUGGGAAGCAAACAAGCCUUGCGAACAUUGAGUAAUUCUGCAACAUAAAUUAAGUUUUAACAUUAGCCACAGUGCCAUCAUCCAUUGCUGAUUGUGGACAUUCACAGAGGUUUUUUUUUUCUUUCCAAGGAGAAAAGAGAACCAAGAGUAAUACCUGCUGUGUGUUCUGUAAGUGUACUGCAUCCAAGUGUCUGAUACAGAGAUGCGAUGUAGUCAGCUGUCUUGGGCUCUUGUCACUGUACUAAGUGGGAUUGUACCCUAAAACUGUCUGCAGGAAAUUAUCCAUGAAUGGCAAUUUAAACAGAAGACCACUUCUCUCUGAUCAGCUUCUUUGAUUAAAGCCUGAACCUAUAAACACACAUUACUUGAAUGAGAACAUUACAGAGAUUUUAAGAGUUUCAUAUUAUUUUAAAGAUUCUGGAUGGGAUCAAGAGACAGACAUCAAAAAGACAAAGAAAGCCACUGAAGAAAAUGGACCCUCUUCUGUUCCCCUGUUUUGACAUCCUUUUGGUUUUGUUUUGUUUUUGUUGUUUGUUUUUCUAUUGAAUUUUCUAUGAUACAUGAAAGGUAAAAAGGAAGAGUUGAAAGUAUACCAAAGCUUAAACUGGAGAUAAGUAGGUGACACAUAGUUCAUACCCGUUACUAUUCAUGCUUCCCAGUAGUCAUAGAUUUGAGCACCAUUUACCUACUGUUUUCCCAGUGAUGUUUCUGUUUGGUUUUCUAGAUUGAUUCAUCACACUGUUUAUGUGUGGUAUGCAAUUU